UUUCCUUCAGCUCUCUCUUUCUCUACCCGAGACUUUCUCUCUCAUCCUCCUUGCUGGAAAUUGCCGCCGCCUAACCGCCGCGGUCGCCGGAACCCGGAUUUCAACCAAAGUUUCCAGAUUUUCUUCUCUUCCUACCCUCUUUCCAUUUCUCCAACCAAAAUCAAGAAAUUUGGCCAUCCAACCCUCCAAAAACCCUAGAACCUGAAGCUAAAUUGGGGCUUUUUGUGAUUUCUUCUUUCCAAGCUUAAAUCAAGGCUAUGGGUUUGGCAAGGAUUUUUGAUGUUGAUGUUGGACGGAUUUGUAGGUGA
rnacentral:lncRNA from 1 species